UUCUUUUUGCAAAUACGGAGAAUAUGUAAAAUUAUUGUGAAAAUUUCGAUUGAAUUGUGUUAGAAAUCAUAUUCGGAAAGUUUUAAAAAUAAAAUUUAAUGUAAUUAUGUAUAAUUAUUAACAUAUAAUACAAUGUAAGUGGUUAAGUGCGACAUAAUUAUUUUUUAAGUAUUUAUACGUUUUAAAUUAGACAAUAACGAAUGUGAUAAAGUUUAAAAGAUCAAGAUAAACAAAAAAAAAAAACAAAAAAUACUUUUAGAAGAAAGAAAAUCUCACAACUAUUAUCUUAAUAAUUAGAGCGGAUGUGGAGAAGGUUUCUGGAGAAGGAAAAGGUGGCAAUCAGUGUCCUUCACUAGCCACCUUGUUUAAUAGUGCAUAUCCAUUUAUAUCGGACGUGGGGAUCGCCAAGGGGAGAUGUCUGCAUAGCGAUUCACGAAGAUGUCAGAUGAGUUAGGAACUUUUUUAAAACUGGGAAAAUUGCCGGGGGAUGCAUUGCUCGAGUUCCGUGAGCCGAAUAAUUGGAACGAGAGUUAAUUACACGCACAAAGAAGAUUCUUCAGAUAUCAGAAAACAAUUUAAUCCUGCUUAACCUUCAGGCAUUUAAAUGAAAAUUCAAAAAAAUUAAUUCGAUCACGACGAAAAGGAAAUUAAUGUAAAGGAAGAAAUUACCUCUUCGAUACGGUAGAAAAGAAAGGAAAAGAAAAGGGUAGAAAAAUCCAUCUCGCGUUAUUCCAUCCACAUAAACGAGUCGCGUGGCAAAUAUUUGUAACCGCUUCUGAAAAUAUCUCUCGUCGACUAAAUGCAAUCAACUGUUCCUCUCUGCGCAGAAAGAAGUUGUUUUGCAGUUGAAACGACACUAGCGCCACACGUUAACUAUAUAAGUACUUAACCUUCUAUUGCAUUCCCAAUUGGAGACAAUAAAUUUUAAAUGUGUGUUCUCGCAUGGAUGGAAAAUAUGUACACCCGUUAGAAUGCUGUUAUUAUUUAUUUCAUGACCACGCUCGUUUUUAAAUAAACCAACAGUCAUAUAUAUUUCUUUCGUCGUAAAAAUUGAUAGAGAUACGAGUAUGGCGAUCAAGAACCACUGCCUCCUUCGUACCUUGCACAAACUGUAGAAAAUAUCUGUUUGGACGAGGCAUUAAUGGGAUCGAAAGGAGAGCAGCGGAGCGAGAAUUGGGAAACCGAAUUCGUUCGAAAGACGAAGGAAAGGGGGCGCUUCUUUCAACCGAUUACUCCUUUGUGACGGUGUAGAAUCGAAUGUAACGAUGCACCGAUGUCUUUUUAUCUCUGGAAGGAACGUUCCCGAAGAAAAGGAAGAGGGAGAAUCGAAAAUUUCUCCAAGGACACGUUUCACUUUUCAUUGCGUUGAUGGAGUUUCAGCGCUCGUUCAACUUUUAAUGCAACGAUGAAGGAAAUUUGCAGAAAAUGGUUUGUACUGGAUACCAAAGAUUCAAAUUUGGAAAUUUUAAUUUGGAAGACGAGGAUCGGAUGCAUCGAGCAAGUUCAGAGGAAUCGCUCGACGAAAAUCGGGCCCAGACGCGAGAAGAAUCGAAAAGAGUCAUACAAGUCUCAUACCUUGUA